GCGCUCUUAUCAGUUCGGUAGAACGUGGGUCUCCAAAACCCGAUGUCGUAGGUUCAAAUCCUACAGAGCUCC
rnacentral:tRNA from 2 species